rnacentral:rRNA from 1 species
GUAGCCUGAUAUUGAAAUUCGGCACAGCUUGUACAGGAUAGGUAGGAGCCUUUGAAACGUGAGCGCUAGCUUACGUGGAGGCGCUGGUGGGAUACUACCCUAGCUGUGUUGGCUUUCUAACCCGCACUACUUAUCGUGGUGGGAGACAGUGUCAGGCGGGCAGUUUGACUGGGGCGGUCGCCUCCUAAAAGGUAACGGAGGCGCUCAAAGGUUCCCUCAGAAUGGUUGGAAAUCAUUCAUAGAGUGUAAAGGCAU